CAAGACAACUUUACGGAGUUGACGAUUGACGGAGCGAAGCGACGUCAAAGCGUUCAUUAAAGUCGAGUUGGCUUAGGGAUACGUUCGUUGGGUAGGGGAGCGUUCUGUAAGCCUGUGAAGGUGUGUCGUGAGGCAUGCUGGAGGUAUCAGAAGUGCGAAUGCUGACAUAAGUAACGAUAAAGCGGGUGAAAAGCCCGCUCGCCGGAAGACCAAGGGUUCCUGUCCAACGUUAAUCGGGGCAGGGUGAGUCGACCCCUAAGGCGAGGCCGAAAGGCGUAGUCGAUGGGAAACGGGUUAAUAUUCCCGUACUUGGUGUUACUGCGAAGGGGGGACGGAGAAGGCUAUGUUGGCCGGGCGACGGUUGUCCCGGUUUAAGCGUGUAGGUGUGUGUUCCAGGUAAAUCCGGUUCACUUUAACACUGAGGCGUGACGACGAGGCACUACGGUGCUGAAGCAACAAAUGCCCUGCUUCCAGGAAAAGCCUCUAAGCAUCAGGUAACAUCAAAUCGUACCCCAAACCGACACAGGUGGUCAGGUAGAGAAUACCAAGGCGCUUGAGAGAACUCGGGUGAAGGAACUAGGCAAAAUGGUGCCGUAACUUCGGGAGAAGGCACGCUGACACGUAGGUGAAGUGAUUUACUCACGGAGCUGAAGUCAGUCGAAGAUACCAGCUGGCUGCAACUGUUUAUUAAAAACACAGCACUGUGCAAACACGAAAGUGGACGUAUACGGUGUGACGCCUGCCCGGUGCCGGAAGGUUAAUUGAUGGGGUCAGCGCAAGCGAAGCUCCUGAUCGAAGCCCCGGUAAACGGCGGCCGUAACUAUAACGGUCCUAAGGUAGCGAAAUUCCUUGUCGGGUAAGUUCCGACCUGCACGAAUGGCGUAAUGAUGGCCAGGCUGUCUCCACCCGAGACUCAGUGAAAUUGAACUCGCUGUGAAGAUGCAGUGUACCCGCGGCAAGACGGAAAGACCCCGUGAACCUUUACUAUAGCUUGACACUGAACAUUGAGCCUUGAUGUGUAGGAUAGGUGGGAGGCUUUGAAGUGUGGACGCCAGUCUGCAUGGAGCCGACCUUGAAAUACCACCCUUUAAUGUUUGAUGUUCUAACGUGGACCCGUAAUCCGGGUUGCGGACAGUGUCUGGUGGGUAGUUUGACUGGGGCGGUCUCCUCCUAAAGAGUAACGGAGGAGCACGAAGGUUGGCUAAUCCUGGUCGGACAUCAGGAGGUUAGUGCAAUGGCAUAAGCCAGCUUGACUGCGAGCGUGACGGCGCGAGCAGGUGCGAAAGCAGGUCAUAGUGAUCCGGUGGUUCUGAAUGGAAGGGCCAUCGCUCAACGGAUAAAAGGUACUCCGGGGAUAACAGGCUGAUACCGCCCAAGAGUUCAUAUCGACGGCGGUGUUUGGCACCUCGAUGUCGGCUCAUCACAUCCUGGGGCUGAAGUAGGUCCCAAGGGUAUGGCUGUUCGCCAUUUAAAGUGGUACGCGAGCUGGGUUUAGAACGUCGUGAGACAGUUCGGUCCCUAUCUGCCGUGGGCGCUGGAGAACUGAGGGGGGCUGCUCCUAGUACGAGAGGACCGGAGUGGACGCAUCACUGGUGUUCGGGUUGUCAUGCCAAUGGCACUGCCCGGUAGCUAAAUGCGGAAGAGAUAAGUGCUGAAAGCAUCUAAGCACGAAACUUGCCCCGA
rnacentral:rRNA from 1 species